UACGUAGGGUGCGAGCGUUAAUCGGAAUUACUGGGCGUAAAGGGUGCGCAGGCGGUCUCGUAAGCUGGGUGUGAAAGCCCCGGGCUUAACCUGGGAAUGGCAUUCAGGACUGCGAGGCUUUGAGUGUGGCAGAGGAAGGUGGAAUUCCAGGUGGUAGCGGUGAAAUGCGUAGAGAGUCUGGAAGGAACACCGAUGGCGAAGGCAGCCUCUGG
rnacentral:rRNA from 1 species